CCAGACUCCUACGGGAGGCAGCAGUGGGGAAUAUUGCACAAUGGGGGAAACCCUGAUGCAGCGACGCCGCGUGAGCGAUGAAGUAUUUCGGUAUGCAAAGCUCUAUCAGCAGGGAAGAAGAUGACGGUACCUGACUAAGAAGCCCCGGCUAACUACGUGCCAGCAGCCGCGGUAAUACGUAGGGGGCAAGCGUUAUCCGGAUUUACUGGGUGUAAAGGGAGCGUAGACGGCGAUGCAAGCCAGAUGUGAAAGCCCGGGGCUCAACCCCGGGACUGCAUUUGGAACUGUGUGGCUGGAGUGUCGGAGAGGCAGGCGGAAUUCCUAGUGUAGCGGUGAAAUGCGUAGAUAUCUGGAGGAACAUCAGUGGCGAAGGCGGCCACCUGGACCGGUAUUGACGCUGAGGCGCGAAAGCGUGGGGAGCAAACAGGAUUAGAUACCCUAGUACG
rnacentral:rRNA from 1 species